UACGUAGGGUGCGAGCGUUAAUCGGAAUUACUGGGCGUAAAGCGUGCGCAGGCGGUUUGCUAAGACCGAUGUGAAAUCCCCGGGCUCAACCUGGGAACUGCAUUGGUGACUGGCAGGCUAGAGUAUGGCAGAGGGGGGUAGAAUUCCACGUGUAGCAGUGAAAUGCGUAGAGAUGUGGAGGAAUACCGAUGGCGAAGGCAGCCCCCUGGGCCAAUACUGACGCUCAUGCACGAAAGCGUGGGGGGCAAACAGG
rnacentral:rRNA from 1 species